UUCUCUCCAAGCUGCUGUCCGAGCUCCGCUCCAGUCUCACUGCGAUGCCUCAUUACCUGUGAAACCUCCCCGCUCGCCCUGCUGGGGGCGCGGUUCUGUUCGCCGGCCCGGUCGUCAAGGUGACCUGCCUGGCCCCGGGACGGCAGACUGCACCCAGGCCGCCCCAUGCCGGUCGCUGCUCUUGGCCCUGGGUGUUUCCAGGCUGCUGCCCGCGUCCCGGUGAGCAAGCAGCUGAUCUCAUUUUUCAACGCGCAGCUGCCCGAACAUCAGGCUCAGGUGAAGGUGACCUGCUCCACCGUUUGGGAUCCGCGGCUCUCUCACUGCUGCGAGGACAGAUUGGGAAGCCGUUAUGGCGGCACAGAAGUUGAGGGAGAAGCUAUUUAUCCCAGACGGAUCAGGAGGUGUGUGACGGAGGUGUGGACGGUUGCUGCAGGUCAGUGACGUUGGCAGGCGCCAGGCAGGCCGGCCCACAUGGCUCGGGGACUGUGGGACUACAGACAGAUGGCACCUGGUGGGUGACAAACAAUUAACAAACCAACAAGAAUAGCUGGAUCGGCACUAUACCCACAAGCGCAGGAGAUAGCUAGAGAGCGGGUGCAUCUGUGCUCCGAACAUUUCUGCUCUUUACUUUUUCUCUCCCCGAGACUUGUUUUGUAUAACAGUUGCAAUUUAACCAUGUGUCUUUCUCACAAAAACACCCUCGUCGUUGUGUUGCUUUAGAACGGUCUAAAUAAAGCAGUGCUGAGCAUAUGCA